rnacentral:rRNA from 1 species
GAUGAACGCUGGCGGCGUGCCUAAUACAUGCAAGUCGAGCGAACAGACGAGGGUCUUGCUCCUGUGACGUUCGAGGCGCAAGGGUGAGCAAAACGUGGAUAACACACAUAUAAGACUGGGAUAACUUCGGGAAACCGGCGCUAAAACCGGAUAAUAUAUAAAGCAGCAUGGUCCAAUAGUGAAAGAAGGUUUUGCUGUCACUUAUAGAUGGAUCCGCGCCGAAUUAGCUAGUUGGUAAGGUAACGGCUUACCAAGGCAACCAUGCGUAGCCGACCUGAGAGGGGGACCGGCCACGCUGGAACGGCAACACGGUCCAGACUCCUACGGGACGCGACAGUGUAGAAUGUUCCACUAUGGGCUGAAGGCUGACGUGACAACGCCACGUGAGGUAUGAAGUGCUGCGGAUCUUAGAACUCUGUUAUUAGGGAAGAACAAAUGUGUAGUUAAUUAUUAACGUCUUGACGGUACCUAAGCAGAAAGCCACGGCUAACUACGUG